GGGGCUAUAGCUCAGCUGGGAGAGCGCCUGCCUUGCACGCAGGAGGUCUGCGGUUCGAUCCCGCAU
rnacentral:tRNA from 1 species